rnacentral:rRNA from 1 species
AUUGAACGCUGGCGGCAUGCCUUACACAUGCAAGUCGAACGGCAGCACGGGAGCAAUCCUGGUGGCGAGUGGCGAACGGGUGAGUAAUAUAUCGGAACGUGCCCGGUCGUGGGGAUAACGUAGCGAAAGCUACGCUAAUACCGCAUACGAUCUACGGAUGAAAGCGGGGGAUCGCAAGACCUCGCGCGAUUGGAGCGGCCGAUAUCAGAUUAGGUAGUUGGUGAGGUAAAGGCUCACCAAGCCGACGAUCUGUAGCUGGUCUGAGAGGACGACCAGCCACACUGGGACUGAGACACGGCCCAGACUCCUACGGGAGGCAGCAGUGGGGAAUUUUGGACAAUGGGCGCAAGCCUGAUCCAGCAAUGCCGCGUGCAGGAUGAAGGCCUUCGGUUGGUUAAACGUAGUCUUUUGUUACGGUAACGAACGGUAGAGCGUCUAA